UUUCAUUUUCUGAGACCGGAAGUGGUCAUCAGCAAGGGUGGUCAGAUUGAAUCAGAGCCGAGGACUCUCUGUCCCGCCCACAUUUACCGGCUUCUGCUGUUUAUGGACGCUGCUACCGCUGCUGCUAACAACGUUAGCUUCCAAAAGUGGAGAUAAACUCUACAGUCUGGAUCAUUGGGAACAUCUGGUCUGAUGGACUGAGAGCUACAGAGAACAUGAACAUCCAGCUGUGGUUGUCUGAACAAUCUUCUCUCCAUCACUGUGAGGAAGAGCAGCACUGAUGUCCUCCUCAUGCUUCCAUUAAGAACAAUGAUGCUGCAGAUUCAGCUCCUCUCUUCAUAAUACUUGUCUUGUGACUGUUCAGUUUUUACACUUCACUGUCAGCAACACAUUAUUUAUUUCAUCCAUUUAUUACAUGUUUACACAUCUUUACAGUUCACAAUUGUUAAAUAAUGCAGUUUUUAAAUGUGCAAUGAAGGAAAUAAUGAAGCUCUUGA